GAUAAACGCUGGCGGCGUGCCUAAUGCAUGCAAGUCGCACGGGAACCCAUUUAUGGGUCGACCGUGGCGGACGGGUGAGGAACACGUAGCUAACCUGCCCAACAGAGGGGGAUAACCUCGGGAAACCGAGGCUAAUACCGCAUACGCUCGUGUGAAGGGAUUCGCAUGAGGAAAUGGAGCAAUCCGCUGAUGGAGGGGGCUGCGGCCGAUUAGCUAGUUGGUGGGGUAAAAGCCUACCAAGGCGGUGAUCGGUAGCUGGUCUGAGAGGACGAUCAGCCACACGGGGACUGAGACACGGCCCCGACUCCUACGGGAGGCAGCAGCAAGGAAUUUUCCACAAUGGGCGCAAGCCUGAUGGAGCAACGCCGCGUGGGGAGUGACGC
rnacentral:rRNA from 1 species